GGAACUACAAGCCCAGCUUAAAACCCAAAGGACUUGACGGUGUCCCACCCACCUAGAGGAGCCUGUUCUUUAAUCGAUAAUCCACGUUUAACCUUACCAUUUCUUGCCAAUCAGCCUGUAUACCUCCGUCGCAAGCUUACCAUAUGAAUGCCCCAGUAGGCUAAAUGAUACUCUCACCAAUACGUCAGGUCAAGGUGCAGCUUAUGAAACGGUAUAGCAAUGGGCUACAAUUUCUAACCUAGAACAAACGAAAUGCUACAUGAAAUCCAGCAUGAAGGCGGAUUUAGCAGUAAAAAGAAAACAGCAUGUUCUUUUUAACUUGGCUCUGGGACGCGU
rnacentral:rRNA from 1 species